UGGGGAAUAUUGCACAAUGGGGGAAACCCUGAUGCAGCGACGCCGCGUAAACGAAGAAGGUAUUCGUAUCGUAAAGUUCUGUCCUAUGGGAAGAUAAUGACAGUACCAUAGAAGAAAGCUCCGGCUAAAUACGUGCCAGCAGCCGCGGUAAUACGUAUGGAGCGAGCGUUGUCCGGAAUUAUUGGGCGUAAAGGGUACGCAGGCGGUUUAAUAAGUCGAAUGUUAAAGAUCGGGGCUCAACCCCGUAAAGCAUUGGAAACUGAUAAACUUGAGUAGUGGAGAGGAAAGUGGAAUUCCUAGUGUAGUGGUGAAAUACGUAGAUAUUAGGAGGAAUACCAGUAGCGAAGGCGACUUUCUGGACACAAACUGACGCUGAGGUACGAAAGCGUGGGGAGCAAACAGG
rnacentral:rRNA from 1 species